AGUACUAUUACCCAGUAGAACUGUUGCUGAGCUACAGAGUGAUGUCAUCCCCUGGUAAUUGUUACCCCACUGUUUAGUACCUAGUGAUUGUUGCUUCCACCAAAAUCUGGUGGGCUUUAUUCCAUGCCUAGCACAUAAAUGCCAGCGAAAAAGUGGAAUAAGUAGAUAAGUUUCAAGCUUCAAGGUCGUUUACAUUCCAGUGAAAAAAGACAGGAAGCAUGUACACAAGUAAAUAAUUGGAGAGAAUGAAAUCACCAGAGACUCGGGUCCUUCAGCUUUAAAGUAUCUCAGAACUUGUACAGUGACUCUAGUCAAUAGCUUAAAUCCAAGCUGAAAAGACUUGUUAAGGCCUCUAUCUUCUCCACCUCUCUGGUAGACUUCCAACAGCAAGGAUUUGGAAAGAGCAGUGUACCGACUUCUAAGGAGAGUUGGCAUCUUAAAGAAAACCUCUUAAUUAGUGAGUUUCUCUAAGAGAAGAAUAAAAGACUGUCUAGUACACUAAGUAAGUAACUAAAUACUAACAAACUAAUCACCUACUCUGGGUUAGAUUCUGUAAGACCAUCUGAAACCAACUGACUUUCUGUUGCUAUAGGAAUAUCCUUGCACUGUAUUACUCAACCACAUUUGGAGGGAAAUUCCCAUACUUCUCUUUGAGAAAAAAAAAAAAAACUUUCUAAAGAGUUUUAUAGACUACAGCAUGGUGCUAGACUAGGCAAACAUAGAGGGAGAUGAAAGGCUCGUUAAGAGCAGCCUACAUUGAGGAUUACAGAAACGUCUUCCCCAAAAGACGAUAAUGAACAGACCCAAUGGAUGAGACCUUUACCAGUGGAAGUCUGAUGUAAUAAGGAGUCUGUCAGCAUCCAGGAACUGUGCAUAAUUUGAUGUGCAAAUAAACAUUUCCCUUCCUAUCUUCUGAUAACGUUUAAGUGCUAUUUAAGGUUUUCCUUUGAGGAAGAGAUAUCCGUUGAUAGCAGAAGAAAUAAUGAGCCAAAUAUACUGAGACUUCCUGGCAACCAGUCUGACUGAAUGGGUAGCCAUUCUGAUAUGUACCUGUGUGUACGUGUUGGAAGGAGGUGCAGUAAACAAUUAAAUAUCACCCUCUGACUGUUACUAACCUGAAACACUCUUUGAAUUCUUCCUCCACCCACACCUCUCUCUUUCCCUUGAGACACUUCCGGUUUGAGUCUGAUUAUAGGAGAUAGAAUCCAUUGUCAAUAAUACACUUUGAUUAGUUAAUACGUUGUUUAAAUUGCAAUAAGAAGUGAAUUGCUCAUAUACUUGUACAAACUGUCACUGUGUGUAUACAGUAAUCUAAUGUAUUCUGCAAUUUUUCCUUGUGAAAUUAACAGGGCCUGGGGAAAAUUCAGUUAUUAAACUUGAAUUUGCAUUUGAGACAUACAGAACACUAAAGAAUCUCAAUUUAUACGUGAAGUUAACAAGGUACAGAGUGUAUGCAUUAAAUUCCCUUUCUGUUUCUGCCAUCUCUGUUAUAUUACUUUAAUAUGGACAUAGUAAUAGAUAUAUAACAAAAGUGCUACGUACAUCAAUACAGUCCUGAGACCAAUCUCUUUGUGUAGUUUUAUCAAAUUUAAAUGACAUACUUAAAAAGAGUGUCUUCUGAGUAUCCUACCAGAUAUAUAAGGCACUAUAUUAAAAAAAGAAAGUCACCAUGAAAGAAUCUGUUCAGGGGUAUUCUUCAAGUGCACUCUACAUGCAUAACAUGAGGCUGAAGAAGCUCUCAGAAAACUCAGUUUUUUUCUACAAGAAGCAUCUUGAAUUUUAAACCUUCUAAAUGUUGCUUUCAGGAAUAGCAGCUCUCAGAGGUAACCUAAUCAGCCCUUUUACCUAAAAUAUGUAAGAUAAUUUGACCUCUAGAAUCUGAGAACUUUGAAAACUGCACUAGUUUGCAUGAAUUUCCAAGAAACAAAAUUUCUUCAUUGUCAAAAAUGUUCAAUUAGAAAAAUAUAUCCACCUCCUACAUCCUUUUAAAAUCCUGUAUAUGCAUCAUAUUUAUAUUUUUCAUCAAAAUAGCAAAAGGGCAGAAUAAAUUCUAUCCCACCCAAUUGUAUCAUGGGACAGAUACUCUCUGUGUUUGCAGUUUCCUGGGAGCUAGACACUGAGAAGCAUAACAACUGUGCAGAAAAAAAAAAAAAGUGGCAUUUAGUGCUUUCCUUCUGGGAAAGACAAGGAAAAGUUCAAGAACCACUCCCAUGUGGCAGAGACUGAAAUGCAGAAUCUACAGAACACAUCUGAAAAUGCUCUUUGCUCUAUGUAGGCUUAUACAUACUGCAUCUAACACUAAAUAGAAUGUCAUUUUUCUGUUUUACAUUUAGUGUGGGCAAGAGAGCAUGAGUGGAGCACACCCAGUGGUACUACAAGAUGCACUGGCUGCCUUGAUAGUUAACCUGACACUCAGCUCCCUAAGGUACCAUCAGGGAAUCACACAGGCACCAAGCACUGUAAUUGUCAUUUUUACUGACAACUGAUUGAAGUACUAUUAUAUUCCGGAGUAGCAUUGACAAAAACAUUGAAUUAUUUGUAAUAAGAACAUAAUUUUAAUUUAAAUUAUUUUUUAAAAUUUUAACAAAAUUGAAAUGAGCUUUUAAAAACUGUAUAGUUUCAGUAUUUCUAUGUUUGUCCGGUAAACUAUUUAUAAGUGAGAUAA